CCAAUGCCUGUGGUCUGGAUGCACUUGCUGCGAAUUGCCCAGGUGGCAGUGGUGGAGCAGAGUCUGCUGGGAGACACAGCAGGAAACAUACAGCAUCAUGGGGUCCCAGAAAGAAGUAAUGCAUGACUCUGAUUUGCGGCUGCAGGAUAAAUCCGAACUAUUUCAGGGAGAUGUCAUGGAGAGCUCAUCUCUCAGCAUCAAAGUUGCCUCUCCUGACUUUUGAAUUUUAAGUGUUCUGUGUGGAAGAAAAAUGGAGACAACAAAUUUCUAUGCAUGGAUUCAAAGAAUCCUCGUAAUAUACAGACUACAUUCUCCCCAGCUUUUUAUCUCUAUAUAUUCUUUUUGUUGAGUUUCAACCACAUAGGGUUGAAAUUCACCUUCCCACAUUACAUUUUUCAUCAAUAGUUGAAGACCUAUGUAUGUAAAUAUCAGGAACUAUCAGAACUCCCUGCAACAGGAAACCUGACCCCCAACUCCCCCGAAAUGCAUCAUGAUAAACAGUCACUUGCCAAAAUAACAAAUCAGCUUCCUGGAACAUGCUUGCUCAAAACCAGGAGAGGAGCUUAGAGACGUCAGCUUGACUUCUGCCUCGUACGCAGGAAGGGUGACCUUCAAAGAUCAAACAUCGUCCCAAAUCUCCCUUCAUCUUGUAGUACUCCUGCUUGUCGUAGCUCCUGUUACCAUCAGGUACUGGGCCAACCAUCCGUCAUGUCAGAAGAGAGUUGGGGACAAUCCCUGGAUUAUUUCACCUUUGCCCUGCUGGUAUAGACAAUGUGUGUUAUGGCUGGGUGACUUGCUGACUUUUACUCUGAGCAACAGCUUUGUCAGAGUAAACUAAAACAGAGACUUCAGAGCAUAAUAAAAUAUGACAUUUUUUCUGUAUAGAACUAAAGACACGGGGGAGAGAGAACAACUUAAUUAAAAAGACAGUGCCCUUUCAGUGUCUUUUUUUUUUUUUUUUUUUUUUUUUUUUUGAGAUGGAGUCUUGCUCCGUCGCCAGGCUGGAGUGCAGUGGCGUGAUCUGGGCUCACUGCAACCUCCACCUCCCGAGUUCAAGUGAUUCUCCUGCCUCAGCCUCCCAAGUAGCUGGGACUACAGGCACGUGCCACCACACCCAGCUAAUUUUUUUUGUAUUUUUAGUAGAGACAGGGUUUUACCGUGUUGGCCAGGAUGGUCUCGAUCUCUUGACUUUGUGAUCUGCCCUUCUCUGCCUCCCAAAGUGCUGGGAUUACAGGCGUGAGAGUUUGUAUUAAUAAAAUAAGAGGAAC
rnacentral:lncRNA from 1 species